UCUACUGACACAGGCCUUCAGCCAGCAGAUGCCUGUGGAUGUUUAGAGACCAUGAAACCACCUCGUGUGACUUGCUGCCAUUAGGAGCCUCUCAUGAAGCACUUCUGCUGGAUUCAAUAUUUACAUUGAGAGAGAUUCAAAUCUCAGAAGUUGUCAAGGACUUGUAUUUAGAGCUGGAAAACCAUCUCACUUGAUCUUCUUCAGUUAUUUCACCUUGCUUCCUUGGGCAAUAAGUCAUGCAGACCAAUUACUGGUCCUGCUGUGAAGCUGGGUGGGACUGAAGUGGCUCAACACAGCACUCUUGGGAACAGCACCUUAGACAUGCUGUAAUAUGCAUUCAGUACAGAAGGAGCAUUGCCAUCUUGCUGAAGUUCAGCACUGCAGCACCUACUUCAUGUCUAACAUAUUUGGGAAUUACAAAUUGCCUGACACUCCCCAAGAGCAUUGAAUGCAGUACAGAUCUGGAGGGGAAAGGAUGCUUUUCAUAAUGUGGACAUGAACACUUCUGAAUACUCAGACAGAAAGCCUGUCUCUGUAUGAAGGAGAGGAAUCCUUUUCAUUAGCACAUUUAAGUACAGACUUACCCCAGCAGUCAGAUCACUGCCCUGCCACACUUCACAUUUUAAAGACCAUGUAGGAUAUGCUAGCAUGAUAUUACUAUAGUUUUUUUUUGAAGAAGAUUUUCUUCCUGUGGUCCAUUUUAUCUUUGCCAGUUAUAAGUUGUUUCAAUCUGGAGUUGACUGACUGCAGCUCCUGAGGCACACCAGCUGCCAUGCUGCAGUGCAGCACCGACCUCUGUGUUCUGGAUGACUCCAACAGAACUGUUUGAGUAAUUUGACAUUAAAAUAAUGUUCAGUGA